rnacentral:rRNA from 1 species
UCGAACCUACGGGAGGCAGCAGUGAGGAAUAUUGGUAAAUGGGCGGGAGCCUGAACCAGCCAAGUCGCGUGAGGGAAGACGGUCCUAUGGAUUGUAAACCUCUUUAGGCGGGGAGCAAUGCCGGGCACGCGUGCCCGGAGGGAGAGUAACCGCAGAAUAAGCAUCGGCUAACUCCGUGCCAGCAGCCGCGGUAAUACGGAGGAUGCGAGCGUUAUCCGGAUUUAUUGGGGUUAAAGGGGGCGUAGGCGGAUUUUUAAGUCAGCGGUAAAAGGUCCGGGAGCAACAC